AACCUAGCACACCUGCGGUGUGUACCUGCGGAAGGAUCAUUAUUGAAUAAACUUGGUCAAGCUGUUGCUGGUCCUUCGGGGCAUGUGCACGCUUGCCACCAAUUUUAACCACCUGUGCACCUUUUGUAGAUUGGAAACGUUUCUCGAGGCAACUCGGAUUGAGGACUGCUGUGCGCAAGCCAGCUGUUCUUGUGUUUCUCAAUCUAUGUUUUUAUAUACUCCUAAUGUAUGUAUCAGAAU
rnacentral:misc_RNA from 1 species